GCAGUAUGUCUGGAUGGGAGUCCACCGGCAUAUCAUCAUGACAAAGGAUUUGGUACAGGGGUUAACAGUUGGUUAAUCCAAAUGGAGGGAGGAGGUUGGUGCAAUAAUGUCACCACUUGUCUUUCCCGAAAGAAUACUCGCUUGGGAUCAUCUAAGCAGAUGGUAGAAAAUCUCGCAUUUUCAGGGAUUCUCAGCAACAAGCCUCAGUUUAAUCCAGACUUCUAU
rnacentral:misc_RNA from 1 species